AAAAAAAAAUAUACAGAUUGAAUCGUAAAAGACGAGGCAAGAGCUACACUACUGUAUUCAAUCAUACAUUCAUCCACCGUUAAAUUCACAAAAAAUCGAAUUUCAAAAAAAAAAAAAAAAAAAAAAAUUCAGAAGAAAUCGAAUCAAAGUGGAGCAGCAAACUUGGCGCCUUUCAAAGUUUCAAUUAAAAUAGCUGGUGAGCCAAAGAAGAAGAACAACUCUCUCCAAUUUUGCAAUUUGCAAUUUGCAAUCUGCAAAAAUACUCUGAGUUUAAACCCUAAAAUCAGUACAAUAUCACAGCAACAACAAAAGUAAGAGAAGAGAAAGAGAGAAAAUGAUGCUGAGAACACCACCUCCGAAGAAACCAAGACCCGAUUCCCCCGGCCGCCUUGUUAUCUACGAGGAUCCUCCGUCGUCGUCGUCGUUGCCACAAUCUUCUCCUCACCCCUCCGAUCAUCUUCUUUGCACUUACCAAUGUCGUCAAAUGGUGAAAGCAGACCUUUUGGACAAUUAUGCUAGUAUGGAGAACUCAGUUACUGAAUAUCAGUCCAAAUUAGAGACAUUGAACGAGAACCUUCUGAAAGCAGAAUCUGACGGGAAGAGAUACCGAGAUCAAUUUCUUUAUGCUGAGCAGGAGCUUGCUGCUGCCAGAGGACGUGAGGAGGCACUGCAGGGAAAGAUCUUGAAGGAGGUCAAGGAAUAUCAAGAGCAACUGAAGAAACAAAUGCAACUAUGCAAUGAACUUGAGGGUAAGCUCAAAAAGGAAGAAAGCCUGCGCAAGAGUUCAGAAUCAUCUGCGGCUGCUGCUGAAGAGAAAGCGAAUCUUCUAGAGCAGAAACUAAAGCAGCUUUCAGACAGCACAGAGAGGGAAAAGAAGAAUCUAAAAGAUGAACUCAAGCAUUUGAAAGGAGAUUCAAAGCUUUCAAUUUCUAGGUUAAGGGCUGAUCUUGAAAGAGCACAAUGCCAAGCUUGUAAUGCUGAAAAGGAGUCUGAACUAUUAAAGGAGAAGGUUGAAGACAUAAGCAAACAGCUCGAUAAGUGUUUGUAUGAGAAGAAUGAAAUGGAAAAGGAAGUAACAGGUCUUGUGUGUCCAAAAGGGGAUAAUGCCCCUUCUCAGAAUGAUGUCUUAGUGAAGCAUUUGCAGGAGGAGCUGAAGAACUAUGAGUCUGAAGUGCGUGAGGCAAGAAAGUUGAAAUCAUCUCAUGAGAACAUCGAGCUGUUGAAAGAGAAGUUCAUCGAAGAAAAAGGGCGCCGGGAAAGGGUUGAAGCUGAGCUUGUUAAGUUACAAGAGAUCCAGCUAUGUAUGAAAGUACUGGAGGAUGAGUUGUCUUCUUGGAAGAAAGUCACAAAAGACAUUCCUGGUGUUGAAUCUUCUGAUGAUAUUCCCCUGAAGUUUGUUGCUAUGCAGAAGGAAGUGAUUGACAGCAUGGCAAAGCUGGGAGAGGCAAAUGCACGCUUGAAACAACUAGAGGUAGCCCUUGAGAGUGCUGUGCUUGAUAAGAAAAAUGCAGAAUCAGAAACAGCAUUAGCCAAGGAGAAGGAACAAUCCUUGAAAUUAGAAAUCAAGGAACUCGAAGCAAAACUAUCAUCGGUUAUUGAAGAAAGAGAUCAAUUAAAAACUGCUUCUAAUGAUUCAAACCAGCAGACAAAUGCAGAACCCAAUAAUGAAGCUGUCAGAAGAACCUUAAUUCAGGGGCUUGAAUCAUCUCUUGUCCAGAAAGACUGUUACAUCAAGGAAUUGGAAAGCAAUCUCAGUGAACAGAAGGCUGCCAAUGAUCGGCAUCAUAAUGAAAUGAGAAUGUUGAAUGAGAAGCUAAAUACUGAAGCAAGAAGAAUAAAGUCCCUGGAGAGAGAGGGGGACCGGCUUCGUUCUGAGAUUGCUUUAUUGGAGUCUAAAUUAGGACAUGGCGAUUUUUCGGCUUCUAACACAAAAGUUCUGCGAAUGGUGAAUGCUUUGGGGGUUGAAAGUGAGGCUAGGGAAACUAUAGAAGCCUUACAGUGUGAACUUCAGAAGGCCAAUGAGAAACUUAAGGUCGUAGAAGAAUUAAAGAAACAGUCAGCUGAUGCAGGGCAGCUAGUAGACUCAUAUAUUUCAGGUAAAAUAGUGCAGUUGAAAGAGCAAAUAGCAACACUUGAAAAACGUGAGGAAAGGUACAAGACUGUAUUUGCUGAUCGAAUUUCAGUGUUCAGGAGGGCAUGCUGUGAACUUUUUGGUUAUAAGAUUGACCAUUGGGAAACAUUCGCUGGGACCACUGACAAAGAAUUGCAGCAAAAGUGGGGAUGGAUUUUGGUUGAGUUGAAUGUUAUGGAAGGGCAUGGAGCCCAAAAUGUAUCUCUGACUUCUUACAAACUGCCUCCAGCCAAUUUGAGCGCCAUCUUUCAAGCUCACCACAGUUUGUAUUUUAUGCUAGCUAGCCUGCUUCUCCCAAGGUACCAUGAGCAUCCAGUUUUAUUCAAGGAGGGCGUUGAUCCUGUCACUAGAUCUAGAGAUUCAGACAAAUGAGAUUGAGACCCUCGUGACUAACAUAUUGCAAGCUGGCUUUAUCGGGGUGUUCAGUAGCCCAUUCUCUAGCCCAAUUUUAUUAGUGAAAAAGAAAUAUGAAUCCCGGAGAUUUUGUGAAGAAGUGCAAAAAGGAAAAACAUAACUCGUUUAUCCAAGAAAUAUUUUGUAGGUUUUGCAUUAAGAUUGUAAUGGAUGAUCAACAACGUCCAAAUGGGAUUCCUAUAACCCGCUUUACACUACAAUCUAUCUAUGCGCAAAGUGAUGAUGAGAAGCUAGAGUUCGAAUAUGAGUCCGGCAACA